UGGGGAAUUUUGGACAAUGGGGGCAACCCUGAUCCAGCCAUCCCGCGUGUGCGAUGAAGGCCUUCGGGUUGUAAAGCACUUUUGGCAGGGAAGAAACAGCCUGGGAUAAUACCCCGGGCGACUGACGGUACCUGCAGAAUAAGCACCGGCUAACUACGUGCCAGCAGCCGCGGUAAUACGUAGGGUGCAAGCGUUAAUCGGAAUUACUGGGCGUAAAGCGUGCGCAGGCGGUUCGGAAAGAAAGGUGUGAAAUCCCAGGGCUUAACCUUGGAACUGCACUUUUAACUACCGAGCUAGAGUACGUCAGAGGGGGGUAGAAUUCCACGUGUAGCAGUGAAAUGCGUAGAGAUGUGGAGGAAUACCGAUGGCGAAGGCAGCCCCUGGGAUGAUACUGACGCUCAUGCACGAAAGCGUGGGGAGCAAACAGGAUUAGAUACCCUGGGUAGUCCACGCCCUAAACGAUGUCAACUAGCUGUUGGGGUUUAUUAACCUUAGUAGCGCAGCUAACGCGUGAAGUUGACCGCCUGGGGGAGUACGGUCGCAAGAUUAAAACUCAAAGUGAAUUGACGGGGGUCAUAGCUGUUUUCCUG
rnacentral:rRNA from 1 species